rnacentral:misc_RNA from 1 species
UCCCGGUUAACCCGGGCAGUCUCAUUAGAGUUCCCACCUUUACGUGUUGGCAACUAAUGAUAAGGGUUGCGCUCGUUGCGGGACUUAACCCAACACCUCACGGCACGAGCUGACGACAGCCAUGCAGCACCUGUGCAGAAGCCCCGAAGGGAAAUACCAUUUCUGGUAUCGUCCUCUGCAUGUCAAGCCUGGGUAAGGUUCUUCGCGUUGCAUCGAAUUAAACCACAUGCUCCACUGCUUGUGCGGGUCCCCGUCAAUUCUUUUGAGUUUCACCCUUGCGAGUGUACUCCCCAGGCGGUAUACUUAUCGCGUUAGCUACGGCACAGUCGGGGUUGAGUCCAACUACACCAAGUAUACAUGGUUUAGGGCAAGGACUAC